GGGACAAAAGACAAACAAAGCCAGCGCACAAAGAAACCAAGGGGGGGUAACAUUUUUAACGAAACAAAACACUCAUCAUUUCUUUAUGCUACGACUUUGUUGUCUUUCAAGUGGAUUCACACAAACACAAAAGCAAUUAAACCAAGUUACGAACGACAAAAGCUAAAUAGCUUCAAGAGGGUACGUUUCCGACUGAGCUUUGAAUAUUUACAUUCUAGCCAACAAAAGCAACCAACAUUUACAACAAAAUGGCAAGUGUCUUAAACCACGAGAUAAAUCAAAUGCAACUUCAGCAAUCAUUGUUCUACAUCAUCAUCAUUCUUGCCCUCACCAUCAUGUUUCCC
rnacentral:lncRNA from 1 species